rnacentral:rRNA from 1 species
UAGUAACUGCGAGUGAAGCGGGAUAAGCUCAAAUUUAAAAUCUGGGGGUCCUGUGGCCCUCCGAGUUGUAAUCUAGAGAAGUGCUAUCCGCGCUGGACCGUGUACAAGUCUCCUGGAACGGAGCGUCAUAGAGGGUGAGAAUCCCGUCUUUGACACGGACUACCAGGGCUUAUGUGAUGUGCUCUCAAAGAGUCGAGUUGUUUGGGAAUGCAGCUCUAAAUGGGUGGUAAAUUCCAUCUAAAGCUAAAUAUUGGCGAGAGACCGAUAGCGAACAAGUACCGUGAGGGAAAGAUGAAAAGAACUUUGGAAAGAGAGUUAAACAGUACGUGAAAUUGUUGAAAGGGAAACGCUUGAAGUCAGUCGCGUUGCCCAGAAAUCAACCUUGCUUUUGCUUGGUGUACUUUCUGGUUAACGGGUCAGCAUCAAUUUUGACCGGUGGAUAAAGGUCAGGGGAAUGUGGCAUCUUUGGAUGUGUUAUAGCCCUUGGUUGCAUACAUCGAUUGGGAUUGAGGAACUCAGCAUGCCGCAAGGCCGGGUUUUUAACCACGUUACAUGCUUAGGAUGCUGGCAUAAUGGCUUUAAUCGACCCGUCUUGAAACACGGACCAAGGAGUCUAACAUGCACGCGAGUGUUUGGGUGGAAAACCCGAGCGCGUAAUGAAAGUGAAAAUUGAGAUCCCUGUCGUGGGGAGCAUCAAUGCCCGGACCAGACCUUUUGUGACGGAUCCGCGGUUGAGCGUGUAUGCUGGGACCCGAAAGAUGGUGAACUAUGCCUGAAUAGGGUGAAGCCAGAGGAAACUCUGGUGGAGGCUCGUAGCGAUUCUGACGUGCAAAUCGAUCGUCAAAUUUGGGUAUAGGGGCGAAAGACUAAUCGAACCAUCUAGUAGCUGGUUCCUGCCGAAGUUUCCCUCAGGAUAGCAGAAACUCAUAUCAGAUUUAUGUGGUAAAGCGAAUGAUUAGAGGCCUUGGGGUUGCAACAACCUUAACCUAUUCUCAAACUUUAAAUAUGUAAGAACGGGUCGUCUCUUGAUUGGACCUCCCGGCGAUUGAGAGUUUCUAGUGGGCCAUUUUUGG